CAAAACACCGGUUCCCGUACGAUCACCGAAGUUAAGAAGCGUCGAUCCUGGUCAGUACAAAGAUGAGUGACUUGGGAAUCCUAAGUGUU